CCUACGGGAGGCAGCAGUGAGGAAUAUUGGUCAAUGGACGGAAGUCUGAACCAGCCAUGCCGCGUGCAGGAAGACGGCUCUAUGAGUUGUAAACUGCUUUUGUACAAGGGUAAACCUGAAUACGUGUAUUCAGCUGCACGUACUGUACGAAUAAGGAUCGGCUAACUCCGUGCCAGCAGCCGCGGUAAUACGGAGGAUCCAAGCGUUAUCCGGAUUUAUUGGGUUUAAAGGGUGCGUAGGCGGAUGUUUAAGUCAGCGGUAAAAUGGCCGGGCUCAACCCGGGCCGGCCGUUGAAACUGGGGAUCUGGAGUGGGCGAGAAGUAGGCGGAAUGCGUGGUGUAGCGGUGAAAUGCAUAGAUAUCACGCAGAACUCCGAUUGCGAAGGCAGCAUACCGGAGCCCGACUGACGCUGAGGCACGAAAGCGUGGGGAGCGAACAGGAUUAGAUACCCUUGUAGUC
rnacentral:rRNA from 1 species